CAAACAGCUGUAGGGUCAGAUUGGACCCCUGGUUAGACUCCAAACAGCUGUAGGGUCAGAUUGGACCCCCUGGUUAGACUCCAAACAGCUGUAGGGUCAGAUUGGACCCCUGGUUUGACUCCAAACAGCUGUAGGGUCAGAUUGGACCCCCUGGUUUGACUCCAAACAGCUGUAGGGUCAGAUUGGACCCCCUGGUUAGACUCCAAACAGCUGUAGGGUCAGAUUGGACCCCCUGGUUUGACUCCAAACAGCUGUAGGGUCAGAUUGGACCCCCUGGUUAGACUCCAAACAGCUGUAGGGUCAGAUUGGACCCCCUGGUUAGACUCCAAACAGCUGUAGGGUCAGAUUGGACCCCCUGGUUAGACUCCAAACAGCUGUAGGGUCAGAUUGGACCCCCUGGUUUGACUCCAAACAGCUGUAGGGUCAGAUUGGACCCCCUGGUUAGACUCCAAACAGCUGUAGGGUCAGAUUGGACCCCCUGGUUUGACUCCAAACAGCUGUAGGGUCAGAUUGGACCCCCUGGUUAGACCCUAAACCCUGUUUUUCUUCCUUUCUUCUUUCAAUCCUCUGUUUGUUUUGACACUUUGUCUUCGGUCACUGGAUGAUUUAGUCUGCAUCUGAAAUGGCACCCUAUUCCCUAUGUAGGGCUCUGAUCAGAAGUAGUGCACUAUGUAGGGAAUAGGGUGUUAUAGAGCUCUGGCACCCUAUUCCCUAUGUAGGGCUCUGAUCAGAAGUAGUGCACUAUGUAGGGAAUAGGGUGUUAUAGAGCUCUGGCACCCUAUUCCCUAUGUAGGGCUCUGAUCAGAAGUAGUGCACUAUGUAGGGAAUAGGGUGCCACUUGGAACGUAGAUUUACUGUCUGUUGCUUUUUUUUGUUUUUUUUUUGUUUUUUUGUACAGUUCUAGAUGUUCAGUAAAGAUGAUCCUGUUUUAUAACUAUUUGAAAACCCCCUGUUUUGUGAACUAAUAAAGUGAUGUAUUAAUAUCUGAGUCAUGUUGUCUGUUAAAGAGAACACGGACCGCUGUGAGUCGCAGGACAACUGUGAUGAACAGCGCGUCCUGUCGCCUCUGACCAACGAAUAUUGGCCCCCCCCUGUUUUUGUACAAAUUGUCUUGACAAUUCUACAUGUUGGACACAGCAGGUGAUUUACUGCACACUGUCAUGUUAGUGAAUCUCUGACUCUCGUUCUCUCUCCCUCCACUUUCUCUUGGUUACACAUGUUAGUGAAUCUCUGACUCUCGUUCUCUCUCCC
ensembl:lncRNA